rnacentral:rRNA from 1 species
CCGGNUGCGAAGGCGGCCCCUGGACGAAGAACUGACGUCAGGUGCGAAAGCGUGGGGAGCAUACAGAUUUAGAUCCUGGUAGUCCNGCCGUAAACGAUGUCGACUUGGAGAUUGUGCCNUAAGGCAGUGGCUCCGAGAGCUACGACGUUAGUCGACCCGCCUGGGGAGUACGGCCAGCAAGGAUAAAACUACAAAUGAAUGAACGGAGGGCCCGCACAAGCGGUAGAGCAUGUGGUUUAUUCGAUGCAACGAGAAGAACUUACCUGGUCUUGACAUCCACGAAGUUUCAGAGAUGAGAAAUGUGCUUUCGGAGAACCGUGAGACAGGUGCUGCAUGGCUGUCGUCAGCUCGUGUUGUGAAAUGUUGGGUUAAGUCCCGCAACGAGACGCAACCCUUAUCCUUUGUUGCCAGCGGUCCGGCCGGGGAACUCAAAAGGAGACUGCCAGUGAUAAACUGAAGGAAGGUGGGGAUGACGUCAAGUCAUCAUGGCCCUUACGACCAGGGCUACACACGUGCUACAAUGGCGCAUACAAAGAGAAGCGACCUCGCGAGAGCAAGCGGACCUCAUAAAGUGCGUCGUAGUCCGGAUUGGAGUCUGCAACUCGACUCCAUGAAGUCGGAAUCGCUAGUAAUCGUGGAUCAGAUUGCCACGGUGAAUUUAGCGGAUAACAAUUUCCCCCAGGAAACACCCAUCACUCCCCAGGUUUAGGCCAACAACGUAUCCGCUGUCGGUUCCACCGGGACCGCCCGUCAGU